AAUAGAUACCCCGGUAGUCCACGCCGUAAACGAUGAAUGCUAGGUGUUAGGGGUUUCGAUACCCUUGGUGCCGAAGUUAACACAUUAAGCAUUCCGCCUGGGGAGUACGGUCGCAAGACUGAAACUCAAAGGAAUUGACGGGGACCCGCACAAGCAGUGGAGUAUGUGGUUUAAUUCGAAGCAACGCGAAGAACCUUACCAGGUCUUGACAUCCCUCUGACCGGUACAGAGAUGUACCUUUCCUUCGGGACAGAGGAGACAGGUGGUGCAUGGUUGUCGUCAGCUCGUGUCGUGAGAUGUUGGGUUAAGUCCCGCAACGAGCGCAACCCUUGAUUUUAGUUGCCAGCACUUCGGGUGGGCACUCUAGAAUGACUGCCGGUGACAAACCGGAGGAAGGCGGGGAUGACGUCAAAUCAUCAUGCCCCUUAUGACCUGGGCUACACACGUACUACAAUGGCCAGUACAACGGGAAGCGAAGCCGCGAGGUGGAGCCAAUCCUAUCAAAGCUGGUCUCAGUUCGGAUUGCAGGCUGCAACUCG
rnacentral:rRNA from 1 species